GGUGCUAUAGUGUAGUGGUUAUCACUCGGGAUUUUGAUCGUCAUAAAUUCCCGAAACCCAGGUUCGAACCCUGGUAGCACCU